GCACGGAUAGCUCAGUUGGCAGAGCGUUAGGCUUUUAAUCUAACGGUCCAGGGUUCAAGCCCCUGCUCGGGCC